GACAGAGGGGGCAAGCGUUGCUCGGAAUCACUGGGCGUAAAGGGCGCGUAGGCGGGAUGCAAGUCGGUCGUGAAAUCCUUCGGCUCAACCGAAGAACGUCGGCCGAUACUGCCGUUCUUGAGGGAUGCAGAGGAGAUUGGAAUUCCCGGUGUAGCGGUGAAAUGUGUAGAGAUCGGGAGGAACACCGGUGGCGAAGGCGACUUCCUGGCCUGUUCUUGACGCUGAGGCGCGAAAGCUAGGGGUAGCAAACGGG
rnacentral:rRNA from 1 species